UACGAAGGGUGCAAGCGUUACUCGGAAUUACUGGGCGUAAAGAGCGCGCAGGCGGUCGUUCAAGUCGAGUGUGAAAGCCCCCGGCUCAACUGGGGAGGGUCACUCGAUACUGAUCGACUUGAAGGCAGGAGAGGGAAGCGGAAUUCCCGGUGUAGUGGUGAAAUGCGUAGAUAUCGGGAGGAACACCAGUGGCGAAGGCGGCUUCCUGGCCUGCUCUUGACGCUGAGGCGCGAAAGCUAGGGUAGCAAACGGG
rnacentral:rRNA from 1 species